GGUCUCCCUCUUGGGUCUGUCCAGCUCACACAACAGGCCGGGUGAUUCCCACCGCUCAGAGGUCACUGUUACUCUCUGGCAGCUGCCGCCGCCGCCGCUAGCUCCUCGGGGCACCGACGCGCGACAAAGUGGCUGGCAGCCAUCUUGCAGUGCCUCAAAAGAUGCGCAUGCGCCAGCUCCAGCGAGCCAUUCACUACGCAGACUCCCAGAUCAAACAAUAUUUUACACUUCCCUUGGACGAUACCAUUCACAGCCAGUAGGCUAUUUGGAUUAUAGGAAGAGGAAGUAAAUGAAGUGAAACGAAAAAUUUCCUAGUAGAAAUUUCGAGACGAGGAAAGAAUAAAAGGGAAGAUGUGAUCUCACUUUUGCCGGUUAUAACAGUCUUACAAUUGCAUAAUACAUUAUAGUUUAAAGAGCCCUAGCUGUCUAUUAUAUUGAUUAGCACAACCUAGAUUAACCAUUCCAUCGUAUCUGCCUAUGAAAAUCCUCUGGGCAGAUUUGUAGGCUCCUGUGUUCCACUGAGCACAUGCAAUUACUGUAUUUUAAGUCUUUUACCUCUCCCCAGUGGACUCAUUGUUUCUUGAGGCAAGGAACCUGUUUUGCCAAGCUCAUCUCUAGUAUUCAUUCAUUCAUUCAUUCAUUCAUUCACUCAUUCAUUCAUUCAACAAAAAGUUGUUGAACGUUUUGUGCCAAGUAUAGUUCUAGAUACUGGGAAGUAUAACAGCAAAACAAACAAAAAUCUCCUACCUGUGGGGCUUAGUAGCGGGAGACCAAAACAAAUAUGGUCAGGGAGUAAUAAGUUCUAUGAAGAAGUAUGAAGCAGUUUAAGGAAGAGAGAGGAUAUUGUGUAUAAGAUCCUAUAUGGGAAGGGAAAUGGUUUGGUGAUCCAGGAAGGCUUCUGGAAGGAAGUGACACUUAUCUGAACGCUGAGAAUAAGGUAACCAAGCAGGUAUGGGGAAGGGGGAGAAGAACAUGCUGGCAGAAGGAACAGCCAAGUGCAAAGGACCUGAAACUAUGUCUUGACAUAUUCGAGGAAGAAAAAGGAGGCCGGCGUGACUGGAGAAGAGUAAGAGAGGGUACAAGUAGCAGAACAUGAGGUCUGAGGUGAAGGGAGAGAGUUCAUGUAAGACCUUGAAGGCAACUGUAAGGAUUUUGGCUUUUAACUUUGAGAUGGGGAUCCUCAUUAAGCAGACGAGUUUUAAGUAGAGAAGUUACAUCCCAUGUAACUUUUUAACUGGUUGCUAUGUUGAAAACAGACUUAAGAGCCACCAGUCGAGGAGGCUAUUGGAAUAAUCCAGACAAGUAAAUGAUGGCUUGUACAAGAGUGGUACCAAAAAUAUAAUGAGAAGUGGUGUCAGAUCCUGGAUAUAUUUUGAAGGUGGAGUCAAAAGAAUUGCUCAUGGAGUUAAGGAAUAUUGCACUGAAUAACAUGUGAAAGAACCUUGAAAACUGUAAAAUGUUCCAGUAUUGCCACUGAAUUGUCUUAUCCAAAACUAAUUCUUGGGUACCUAUAUUCCGAAGAUAUUGACAUUUUCAAGAUAAUUCUGGAAAUUCCUCAAGCAAUUGCUAGAAGUUGGGAGAAAAGAUCACCUGAAGACCCAAACUCCAAUACCUG